GAUUUCUACUUAUAUAAUAAUGGGAGCAUUUAUAAUCCCGGUGAUAAAACCAGUUGGUUUGGGAUGGUUUGGCAGAUAGAACGCAAGAGUUCAUGUUAAAAUUAAGAAAGAAAAAAUGUAAAAUCCUAUUUGUUUUCUAAUUUUAUAGAGCAACAAGAGAAUUUCACUCUACGUGCUUCAAUUAUCGGUUUGUAACAAAUCAGAAUAAAGAAAAGAAAAGCGAACGUGCCUAUAUAA